CACAACCAUCUCGGUAGCUUGUUCACAUUUAAUUCUUGGCAAGAUUAAUAAGUAAAUACAUUCAUUAUUGAUUCCUACUGAUAAUCUAUUCUUUUCGUUAGAAACUCUUAAGGCCGAUCUCAGACCGUCGCCCAGAUGAGAAGCGGUCAAAGCGGCAACAACCGAAGGGGAAAUUUUUAGACGCUUAAAGUUCCAAGUGUCAGGCAAAGUCGCCGCACGGCACUAAAUUGGAGGCGUUUGCCAACCGGGUCGCCUAAUCCUGAGGAGCUCCAAGGGAAAAGAAGGGACGUGCUGAUAAGAUGUAGAUGGACGCGCGGCUAGGGUUCGGGCUUGAGCCUCUAAUUUUAGAAUAGAUUUCACAAGUUCAACGUCGGAUGUGGUUGAAACUGCAGCAGAAAAAAACGCUGACGGCGAAAACCAGCGCGAGUCCGCACGGGGCCAAUUGGUCCGGGGGAUAGCGUAGCGUGGCCGGAAGCAGGGCGUCGGUGGACUUGGAGAUGACCACGUGGCCAGCGCGGGCAUUCGUUCCCGGAACGGACUCACCGAGGGAAUCUCCGUAUCUGGCCGUCUUAGAGGCAGUCGCUGUAGCUGCUGGCGCUUGAGGCUGCUGCUGCUGCUACUGAUCGCUGCUGCUGCGGCUGAUGCUGCUGCGGCUAAUGCUGCUGCGGCUGAUGCUGCUGCGGCUGUUGCUGCUGCGGCUAAUGCUGCUGCGGCUGGUGUUGCUGCUGCUGAUGCUGCUGCGGCUGAUGUUGCCGCUGCUGAUGCUGCGGCGGCUGGUGGACGACGACCAGGUUAGGUCCGCCUGCAACUAAAGCAAAACCCUGACCUACACCAAAGUCGCUCGCCAUUUUCCCUCCCGCUCUCUCAAGAUGGGUCAGCGAACGUAUUCAAGGCCAUUUAACCCAGUUAACGAGCGAACCGGGCUAAAUUUAAAUAGCUAGAUCCUCUCCCGCUAUCAAUAGUCGGUGUCACCACCAAAAUCUUAUCGAUAGCGGGACCUGCUGACGUAUCGGUUCGUUUCAGUAUUUUCCAGACGGCUUCAACUGAAAAUGCAACAAACUUCAAGGAUUUUAAGUACAGAACUCAGUGGAACGUGUAUGUGUAAAGAGAAAAUAUGUUUGUUUAGAGUUUGUUUUGUU